AAUAAAAAUGAAUUAAAUGAUUAUUUAAUAAUUAGUAUUAAAAAAAAGAAAAAAGAAAACGAAUGGUAAUAAUUGAAGCAAAUGGUAAUGCAAGGCAGUGUAUGUAGGUAGUAAAGCAGACACAUUAAAAAGAAAUAACGGUACAUGCGAUACUGUACAUGUAGCUAGCACCUGGCUACUGUAGCAAAUGGGAAUAAAUAAGAUAAAAGCUUG
rnacentral:lncRNA from 1 species